rnacentral:rRNA from 1 species
UACGAAGGGGGCUAGCGUUGCUCGGAAUCACUGGGCGUAAAGCGCACGUAGGCGGCUUUCUAAGUCAGGGGUGAAAUCCUGGAGCUCAACUCCAGAACUGCCUUUGAUACUGGGGAGCUCGAGUCCGGAAGAGGUGAGUGGAACUCCGAGUGUAGAGGUGAAAUUCGUAGAUAUUCGGAAGAACACCAGUGGCGAAGGCGGCUCACUGGUCCAGUACUGACGCUGAGGUGCGAAAGCGUGGGGAGCAAACAGG